ensembl:lncRNA
GCGAGUGCAGAAAUCUUGAGGUGGAGGUGAAGGCUGGAUGGAAAGCCAAGCCAACCCAGUUUGGCACGGGGAAAAGAUAAUUUACAGAGGGGGAAAGGAAGUGAACAAAAAUGGAAUAAAGCAUGUUGAAGAAUAGAAUGUAAUUUAGCAAAAAAGGGUCUUGCAUUUGUUACGUUUAGUUUGAGAGCAAAGACUCCACGUGUGGGAGUCAGUCCAAGACUGUAAGUUAAAAAAGGGUAAGAAAACAUACCAGCAGGAGUGCUGAAUUGAGAUCAAGAGCAAGCAUCCUUACAGGUCACUGGAAAAUCAGCGUCUGCCAGUCAUUACCUCACUGAGACCACAGAUAGCUGCUAGCCAAAGUGUAAAGAAAAAGCACAUUAAUCUCAAGAUAUCUCUGCAUGUUAAUUCUAGAUCUAUGAUGAUAUACUGAUGAUACCGAGUGAGAUCCUUGGAUCUGAAGAGUAGUGCCUGAGCUGUGAUUCAGGAAUAGCCUGCAGCCAUCUGCUCCAAUGUUUCAUCACACAGGUGUCUGCCCCAGCCCUGUGGCCCAGCUCCCAGUAGGAAAAACAGGAUUUACCCUGUAAGGGGGGACAGAAGAAUGCCUUUAGCUCCACAGAGAAAACACAGUGCGGAGUUUGAGAAGAGACAGCUCAUUUCUAUGGCAGUUGUUGCGCAGUGAAGUUCUUGCAGCUCCAGCGGAAGAUGCCAGUGAGAUAGCCAAACGCGGGUACUAACAGCUGGGUUGACUGACAGAGGUAGGAUGCUCCACCAGAUUCACAGGUCUAUUGGUACAGGAGGCCCAAGAAGACCCUGAGCUGCUCAGCAGUAACUUGACCUUGCACGACUGCUUCUCUGCUGCUACCAUUUGGAUGUCCACCCCGUGCCUCUUCUGCAGUCAUAAGCUCCUGUCAGGAAACAAUGACAGGAGCCAGGGAAUAGAUGUAGCUACCUCCCAUGAGACCUACGUCCUGCUGAUGAGUAUUUUCCUACUGCUGACCUCAUUCUUCCCUGCUCCAAUUUUCGCAUGCUACUGCUUGUCACUUAAAGGGAGGUGAGCAGAGUGAGAGAAGAUGUCCUUCUCCUUCAGCAUGCUAUUAUUCAGAGCAUUUAAAACCUAUUGCCAUUUCUUACCUCCAUUUGUUUUUCCCUGGGCAAAACAGAAUGAAAUUUCUUUCCUCCCCUUGUUUCCUCAAUCUCUGCUUGUACUUGCUGUCUUUCUGUAAGUCCCUGGGUGCCCCUUUCAUCACAGCAUUUCUGAAGCACAACCUCCAAGACCAGAGCCAGUAGUUCAGCAGAGGCCCUUCAAGUAAGCUGGAGGAUAUCUCGUGAUCAUUGCUCCUGUUCAUACCCCCAGUGUUCACCUUUUCUGCACCUCCUCAUUCAGCACUGUCAGCUUCCAUUUGGCAUCUAAAUCAGGGUCACCCACAUUUCCCUAUUUCCCUAGACCCUAUUUCCGUGGUCCUGCUAUAUAACUAGGAUUUUUCCCUGAAGAAUUUAGCCUGCUGAUUGUUGAGGAAAAAACUCUCUCAG